UACGUAUGCCGCAAGCGUUGUUCGGAGUUACUGGGCGUAAAGAGUGCGUAGGCGGUCUUUUAAGUUUGGUGUGAAAUCUCCCGGCUCAACUGGGAGGGUGCGCCGAAAACUGGAAGGCUUGAGGAUGGGAGAGGCAUGCGGAAUUCCUGGUGUAGCGGUGAAAUGCGUAGAUAUCAGGAGGAACACCUGUGGUGUAGACAGCAGGCUGGACCAUUUCUGACGCUGAGGCACGAAAGCGUGGGUAGCAAACAGG
rnacentral:rRNA from 1 species